UGCUGCUGCAUGGCUGCUUCACAGAGGACUUCGCUUAGCAAUUCCUUGAAUAACCAGGUCUGUUCUCUGCAGUUUUAUUUCCAGGCUUCCUCCAAAUCCUGAGCUUCAUUGUCUUGUGCUCCCUGCACGUUAAGAUGCCACCAGUGACUGUGUUUGUCAGUCCUUCUCAGUCUGUGGACAGUAAGUCCUAGAGAGCAGCACCCCCGGACAGCCUCUCUAACAUUUGUGUUGGAAAUGUGUCACCCACGCAGUGCAGCCUGGGGCUGUCUGCAUGAAGCCACAGUGACCUCAUAGCAGUUUGUCUGGACAGCUGAGACCACCCAUAAAUGCAGGUGCCUGCAGGUGGGAGGCUUCCACUCUUGUUUGGAGAAGGCUUCUUCCCCUGUUUCCUAUCAAUCAGGUGUUCUGGUUUUGGUUCAGGUACUUUUCUUCACAGUGGCUGGCAUGGGGCUCUGUGUUGGAUUCGUGCUGAACACAGAGUUGACAACAGAGAGAUGUUUUUGUUAUUGCUGAGCAGGGCUUGCACAGAGCCAAAGCCUUUUCUCCUUUUUGUACUGCCACACUGCCUUCCAAUUUCCUCCCUGAUCUCACUGCUGGGAUAGAGCUGCUAUGUGGGGAUUGGCUGCUGGCUGGGGUGAAACCAGGACAACAGGUCACUGAUGG